ACGACCUUACUUGAACACAAUUUGUUCUAUAGGAUCGUACUACUGUGUCCUUGAUUUCUAAGGAAUCAAGAAACGGGCA
rnacentral:snoRNA from 1 species